CUGGCGGCGUGCCUAAUACAUGCAAGUCGAACGCACUCUCGUUUAGAUUGAAGGAGCUUGCUCCUGAUUGAUAAACAUUUGAGUGAGUGGCGGACGGGUGAGUAACACGUGGGUAACCUGCCCUAAAGUGGGGGAUAACAUUUGGAAACAGAUGCUAAUACCGCAUAAAACCUAACACCGCAUGGUGUAGGGUUGAAAGAUGGUUUCGGCUAUCACUUUAGGAUGGACCCGCGGUGCAUUAGUUAGUUGGUGAGGUAAAGGCUCACCAAGACCGUGAUGCAUAGCCGACCUGAGAGGGUAAUCGGCCACACUGGGACUGAGACACGGCCCAGACUCCUACGGGAGGCAGCAGUAGGGAAUCUUCCACAAUGGACGAAAGUCUGAUGGAGCAACGCCGCGUGAGUGAAGAAGGUUUUCGGAUCGUAAAACUCUGUUGUUGGAGAAGAAUGUAUCUGAUAGUAACUGAUCAGGUAGUGACGGUAUCCAACCAGAAAGCCACGGCUAACUACGUG
rnacentral:rRNA from 1 species